CCUACGGGUGGCAGCAGUGAGGAAUAUUGGUCAAUGGGCGGAAGCCUGAACCAGCCAAGUAGCGUGCAGGAUGACGGCCCUACGGGUUGUAAAUUGCUUUUAUACGGGAAUAACGCGCCUUACGUGUAGGGCUUUGCAUGUACCGUAUGAAUAAGGACCGGCUAAUUCCGUGCCAGCAGCCGCGGUAAUACGGAAGGUCCGGGCGUUAUCCGGAUUUAUUGGGUGUAAAGGGAGCGUAGGCCGCAUGUCAAGCGAGCUGUGAAAUGUCCGGGCUCAACCCGGGCCUUGCAGCGCGAACUGGCGUGCUUGAGUCCGCGGAAGGCAGGCAGAAUUCGACGUGUAGCGGUGAAAUGCGUAGAGAUGACGAAGAACCCCGAUGGCGAAGGCAGCUUGCUGCAG
rnacentral:rRNA from 1 species